rnacentral:rRNA from 1 species
UACGUAGGGGGCAAGCGUUGUCCGGAAUCAUUGGGCGUAAAGAGCGUGUAGGCGGCCCGGUAAGUCCGCUGUGAAAGUCCAGGGCUCAACCCUGGGAUGCCGGUGGAUACUGUCGGGCUCGAGUCCGGAAGAGGAGAAUGGAAUUCCUGGUGUAGCGGUGAAAUGCGCAGAUAUCAGGAAGAACACCCGUGGCGAAGGCGGUUCUCUGGGACGGUACUGACGCUGAGACGCGAAAGCGUGGGGAGCGAACAGG